rnacentral:lncRNA from 1 species
UAGACCAUCCUCAUCUAACCUUACUCGUAUAGGUUGUGGUCGUCAAGAUAGAGUUUCUCAAGGCCACUAUCAGCCUAUUGUGCAAGCUGAUCCCAAGGAUUAGAGUAUGUCAGCAUCAUAUCAUGUCUUUUGCUUUCAAAUCUCUCAUGUUUGUAUGUGUUGUGAUGAUGUAUGUGUGUGUUGUGAUGAUGUAAUGCUUUGUGUUUUGUGUUU